GUCCCUGUAGCGCAAUGGAUAGCGCGUUGGACUUCUAAUCCAAAGUUUCUGGAUUUGAAUCCCAACUGGGAUG